CCGCGUGAGUGAGGAAGGCCUUAGGGUUGUUAAAGCUCUUUCGGCGGGGACGAUGGAUCGACGGUACCCGCCAGAAGAAGCCCCGGCUAACUCGUG
rnacentral:rRNA from 1 species